rnacentral:sRNA from 1 species
GGAUGCGCAUAGCUGACAUUCUGUAAAGUGACCAGGUCAGGGGACAUUAAGUAGUUGGUACACCAAGGUCAAGGUCUGAAGCAAAGGGUGAAAUGACAAGUUAGUAGUAACAUUUAUGAGGCCAGAAGUCAACUUGCAUUAGAAAAUGUGCUAUUACCAAGAAGCAUGUCACCAAGACAACCGAAUAGAACUGUCCAGAGUAUGUCCUUCUGCAGAAAUAUCAAUUGAGACAACUAUCCAGGCAUGAAAUACCUUCAUAAGAACUAAACAAAACAGGGAAAGCUCCUUAAACCAGAAGAGAGUUGUGGCAAAAAAAGACACACUCAACCAAGAGUUGCGAUGAAAGCAAUGUGUCACAUGAAUUGCCAAUACUUACACUAGUUAAAAGAAGAAAGAAACAAAAGAAAAUAGAGCAUCAUUAUAUAAAAGAGUCAACUUAUCAAGCAGAACCAUCCCUUUAUUCUUCUUCUUUCCCCUACAAUGAAGUGAUUCUUUACAACAUCCUGUGCUCCUUUUAAAGCCCAUUGGUUCCUUGUGGUGCUGUCAGAAUGUACAUGAGGAACGUCUACUGAAGAAAGGAAAGCCUCUCAGAAGCCAAAUACCUGAAGAAAACUCACUCUGCCUCUCAUAAGAAUCCAUCAGUGGCCAAUAUCACCUCAGUGUUUCCACAGGACGUAUCCCAGAUGAUUGAGUCGGGGGAAAGUCUACAAAAGUUUGGAUGUUGAUUAUUUCCUAAUAUCCCAGAAAUGAGAGGAAAGCCUAAACAUGAUCUAGGAUUAAGGAUACCAGCUUUUGCAGAAGAACUAAAACAACUACCCAUGUCUAAACAAGCAACUACUAGACUCUUGGGCUUCCCAUUCACAACUGCCCAUUGUUGGGUUAGCUGGACUACUGACUAGUCACCAGCCAACAAACAGGCAUUAAAUUCACCAUCCUAAGGAAAUUAUUCAUACUCAAAACAUAACAGCCAAAAGUCAUGCACUUGAAGACUUCUGUCUCUACUCCUCUAUUCUACGGAUAAAGUGAAACCAUAACUUUCAGGAAAAGAAAACAUGAGAAUGUAGAUUACAAAAGUCGGAACUGACAAAAUACAUAAAGACCAUGGGAUGGAAUUUACAUUUUGAGGAUGGCAGAGUAAUGAAUCAGAAAGAGCCUUUGACACCAACGACUCACAGGAAGUCCCAACAUGUCUCCUUAAUAUCUUCAUAGUGGUCAUAUCAUUUGAAUAUGAAGAAGAAAAAGAGCAGGUGGAGGUAUUCAACCAUGCCGUCAAUCAACUAUGCAAUGCAACUAUGCAAUGACCAAUUAAAAGAAUAAGAAAUCUAAAUGAAUAGAUCUUUUAUUAUUAAUUUCAUUUAAUACUGGUUAAGCAAGAGAGACAGUUGAAUUAGGGUUUUUAAA